GCCAACUGAGAGCAUCCAUUGCCAAGCAAUGGAUGAGGACCAGGGCAUCAAAUAACAGAAAAGGUCUGAUGGCCCAACAAGUCUUGCCGUGCAGCUCAAAGACUGAGAUAUUGCACCCAAAAUGGGGAAAGUGGAAGAAGAAACGGCUGAAUUAAAUAAUCAAUCAUUACUUUUUUUUCUGUUUGUCACCCUACCCUUAACCCCAGUUACUACCCAUGAAAAGCAGCCUGUUGGAUUUAGCAGGUUGAGCAUAGGUUAGGCUACUGGUGGCAUUGUUGAAAGUGUAAGUCUUUGAGUCCCACAGAUCUGAAUCUCUAUGGAUUUCAAAAGACAGACAACAGCAUUUAUGUGAAGAUUUGAUACAACUCUCUGAUCUCAGUCUCUAGAAUCCUAGGAUAAUAUACAUAAACCAUCCACUA